rnacentral:rRNA from 1 species
GUCUACAGCCAUGCUACCCUGAAUAAGCCCAAUCUUGUCUAAUCUCAGAAGCUAAGCAGGGUCAGGCCUGGUUAGUACUUGGAUGGAAGACCACCUAGGAAGACCAGGAGCUGUAGGUG